rnacentral:rRNA from 1 species
AUUGAACGCUGGCGGCAUGCUUUACACAUGCAAGUCGAACGGUAACAGGCCGCAAGGUGCUGACGAGUGGCGAACGGGUGAGUAAUGCAUCGGAACGUGCCCAGUCGUGGGGGAUAACUGCUCGAAAGAGCAGCUAAUACCGCAUACGAUCUAUGGAUGAAAGCGGGGGACCGUAAGGCCUCGCGCGAUUGGAGCGGCCGCUGUCAGAUUAGGUAGUUGGUGGGGUAAAGGCCCACCAAGCCAACGAUCUGUAGCUGGUCUGAGAGGACGACCAGCCACACUGGGACUGAGACACGGCCCAGACUCCUACGGGAGGCAGCAGUGGGGAAUUUUGGACAAUGGGGGCAACCCCGAUCCAGCAAUGCCGCGUGCAGGAAGAAGGCCUUCGGGUUGUAAACUGCUUUUGUACGGAACGAAACGGUCUGGGUUAAUACCCUGGGCUAAUGACGGUACCGUAAGAAUAAGCACCGGCUAACUACGUGCCAGCCGCCGCCGUAAGAC